CGCAUAUUGCGGCCUCGGGCACUCCCGAGGCCACGCCCGUCUCAGGGUCGGUU
rnacentral:rRNA from 15 species